UCUGGCCUCUGUGGAAUAUCCACAUCCCCCCCUCUCUCAAAUAAAUAUUAAAAACAAAAACAGCAUAGAUUUUUAAACUUGACUGGUGCUGCUUUCUAAAGACAGAAAAGAGAAAACAUGACCAUUUCUUAUCAACAGACAGUUCGGACUGUUUCACACUGUUUUGCCCACAGUUUGCUCCUAUGGAAGUGCGCAGCACAACAGGACUUGUGAGUCACCUAGUCGGGGUACAGCCCCGGGGGAGAGUGCCUUCACCCAGCAAUGAGAGCGAGCCACCCACCGGAGAACCCUCUCCCCAGAACAUCGCAAACCCUUGCAACCCCGGCUAAGGAGGACUGUUUCGGGACUCUGGAGAGUAACGGAAGCGCUGCACCCGCUGGAGGAGACUUCAUUUGAGGGGAGGAAAAGCUGACUCCAGGCUUCAAAAAAGCAAGCUCUGAGGAAUUUUGGUGGGCCUUGUUUUCUUGCUUUACAUAAGUGGAAGCGGAAGUACAACGUGACCCAAACUCACGGGUGCAGGUAACAAGCACAGUGCCCAGAGGAAUUUGUACGUCUACAAACCUGCCAGGAAAUUCCAUGCACUCUGCAUCUGGGGCUGAGCGUUGUCGGGAAACUUAUACUGAGGACCUGGGACUGCCCACUACGCAUUUGCCCAGCUACCACCACCACUGCCGCCACCACGGUACCACGUUGGGACUAUGCUUGUGCCUCAGCAACCACCACGCCUCCCCUCACCACAAGUGCUGCCAAGAUUGUUCCCUCUUCCAAUUACCUGCUCAGCUAAUGGUUACAGCAUCAUCACAAAACUGGAGUCCAGAGAUCAUCAAGUAAGAAACUGUAACAGCUAAAAG